UACGUAGGGUGCAAGCGUUAAUCGGAAUUACUGGGCGUAAAGCGUACGCAGGCGGCUUUGCAAGACAGGUGUGAAAUCCCCGGGCCUAACCUGGGAACUGCAUUUGUGACUGCAUGGCUAGAGUCUGUCAGAGGGGGGUGGAAUUCCACGUGUAGCAGUGAAAUGCGUAGAGAUGUGGAAGAACACCGAUGGCGAAGGCAGCCCCCUGGGAUAAGACUGACGCUCAUGUACGAAAGCGUGGGGAGCAAACAGG
rnacentral:rRNA from 1 species